UGAUGUAAAAUCCAAUGGAAAUUGUGAUAUAUAUUAUGAUAUAUCGAAAAAAAAUGGAGAUUAUGUUCGAUAGAUACUCCACCCGGGCCUUUACUGGAAAAAAAUCGUAGUUCUUUUGAAUACUGAGAAAAAUACAUGAGAAGCCUCAACAAAAUUUGAAAUUUUGAGGAAGAUACCUACGAAGUUGAUAUAGCGAACGAUAUGCGUGAAUUGGAAUUGCGCUGGGACUUCGAACUGAAAGAACAAGAGAAACGUUGGUCCAACGAGGAGGACAAUGUUAAACAAUUAUAAUAUGGAAUUUUUACAGGUACGAAAAUCAUAAUAAACUCUCCAAGCAUUUUAUCCCAAAACAUCCAUGAUAUUCUGAAAAAAUAUAACACGAAAAUAAGAGACAGUGUCUGACAUUUUGUUUAGUUGAGGAAAACCAAACUCAGGUGAUCAGGAGCCAGAAAAACACAAAAAAAAUGGAAAUUAUGGACUGCAUUGCUUUUAACCCCAGAAUAAUAUAUAUAGUACUUAGAAUUUCCGUGGUAUACAGAUCUGCCUCUAAUGCGUAAAAGGAAAAAUGUGAUAUUAAACUACUGUUCAUUUCCAACUCCUCUGAGACUCAGAUCGCUACGCUAAAUUUUAAAAGACUCUGUAGGACAAAUUUUCAUACAUGCUACCCUGACUUCUAGAUACUCUAGAAAAUAUCCAGACACUAGAGAUUUCAGUUGCAAAAUAGAAGCUCUCAGCUUUUAAUUAAUGAUAUGAGAUUUUUUGUUUCAUUCAAAAACAGACUAAAAGAAAAUUAGAAAAAAAUAUUAGAAGCUUCGAAAGCAAACUACGAUCUAAUCUCAGGGUGAGAUGGAAAUAUCCAAUAGUUCAUAUAACCAGUGCAGACCGUGCGACUGCAUGUUAAUAGAAGACGAUAAAACUGAUGAAAACAGUUCUUUUUGAAACAUACAUAGGUUUGUUAAAAUUUAACAGAAGAAGAACAAGCCAUUAAAGUCGAAGUGGGGGAGAUUGAAGUUUCGUCAGUGUUUUAUAAACAUGACCACUAUUAUUUAUUUAUGUUUCCUUGAAUGUCUCGAGUGAAAAAAUACAAAUAACAAUAUUUGAGAGAAGUGUUACUUAAUUGGAAUUUCACAGCUCGUAUAAAGGAUUGGCAUUUAAAAUUAAUGGUCAAUGAUAGAUUGAUAUUUGAUGCUGAUACAAGUGGAAAAAUAUACUUUUCAUUUUAUCUCCAUGAUGAUGAUUUUAUUGAUGAUGAAACUUGUGAUUGCAGAAGCAAGAAUUAGUGUGGUACACCUGUAAAUUAUAGUACUAACAUUUAAAUCCAUAAUAUUAUUUCUAAUGAAUAUAUAAUGAUAAUACUUAUAACAUGAAUAUUGAGAAAUUCCAGUUUUAUUGGAAAGUAUCUUGUAGGUUUAUGGGGAGGGAUUAAGAAUAAUGGAAAGUAAUGUUUCCUUCGAGUGUGUUAUUAUUAAUAUUUUACUUUGUUAUUCUGCAGAAAAAAUUGUUUUUAUCAAACUGCUCAAUAUGAAGAAUUACAUAAAAAAAUUUUACGGUGUGAAUUCAGUGAAUUCAAGAACUGGUGGUUGAAAGCAAACAUAAUUAUUCAACUUAGAGAAUGUAAAUAUGUUUCGAAAUGAACAAUUAUCGUCUUAGGAAUGUAAUGGUGCAAUUAAAGAAAAUCGUUCUUUUUUCCUCAAAUAAUAAUGCCCGUUUUUAAAAUUACUCCUUAAUUAUAUUUUUCGUUUAAUUUAUCAGAUAAUAUAAAAAAACCAUACCAAUUGGGAUAAUUGUUACGACGCAUAAUAUAUAAAUCAUAAAAGAAUGGAGAGUUGAUGAGCUUUGGUUAUUGUGUACAUUUCCGAUCAAAAUUUAACAGUGAAAUUGGAAAUUAAGAUGAAUCAAUGUUUUUUGGGUCGUUUCAAAUAUGGAAUUGUUUCAAAUACGAUUGAUUUUUUCAACGAAAGAUAUCAACUAAAGUUGUUGUCUAGGAAUUUUUUCAACUAUAAUUAAGCUUUCGUCGAAUUUCCUUUUAAAAACUGUUAACGAAUAUAUCAAACUUGACUCAUUAGGUUUGACCAGUUCAUUAUAAAAUGCGCAAUGAACAAUUGAAUUAACCUAUAUAAACAGAAAAAUAAAAGAAGAGCGGUCAAUGAAUUUAUUGACGAAUGAGAUGGAAGAUGAAAGGGCUGUGUACAAUGUGGAAGUAAUAUGUGCAACGUCAACGUUUGUGCUAGCUUCAGAAUUAAUUGCAUGUUAAACAUGUCACUAUAUAGAUGUAUCAAAGAUAAUAGCAUACACAAGCAAUACCUAUUGUCAAUGGUAUGAACAUUUUCACCCUUUAAAACAAAAAAAAAUUAAGUUGUUUGUUUUGAACAUUUAACACAUAACAAAAGUCUAGAAUAAUUAUAUACAUAUCCGUAUAUAAUUCAUAUAAGCCAGUACACUUGAAGUUUAUAUUAUUUAUGUGAAUUGUUGAAGGGAAGGCAAAGUAAAUUUUUUUCUAAUAGUUUUUUUUAUUUACUAAAAACACGUUAUGAUUAUAUAUAUUGGUAACAAGUGGGUAAACUGAAAAGUCGAACGAAUAAUUGUACCAAAAUAAUAAAUAUUAAGGAUUUUCUCAAUUUUAUAAAGAAAAAAGAAAUAAUAAUGAAGAAAUCACUCAGAUAAUUGUUAUGAAGUAACGAACUAUUCUUGAAACGAGUAUGCAUGCACGAAUCGAGUAAAUUCACUGUUAUGCGCUCUGCAGAAAAUUAUUCUUUAUCAAUUGAUGUCAAGUCUAAAGAAUGUGCCUACUUUUUGUCGAUAACUGACAUUGCAAUUUUUUCAUAAGUAAAUAGGGCUUAAAAAUUACAAAAAUGCAAUGCAUCUAAUUGUUUUUAUCCGUCGAUUUAUGUCUGUAAUCAAAUCAACCAUUUUUCCGGUGUAUAUUUCGAAAAAACAAUUUGAUAGAUUGUAGAGAUGGAAUGUUUGAGAAACAAAAGACAAAUGUAAAAUUUCUGUAUUUUACAAACAAGUGUACUUGUAUAUUUAUAUACUCAAUAAAAUAAUUCUGAAUAACGUAA